UACGUAGGGGGCAAGCGUUGUCCGGAAUCAUUGGGCGUAAAGAGCGCGUAGGCGGCCCUGUAAGUCCGCUGUGAAAGUCAAGGGCUCAACCCUUGGAUGCCGGUGGAUACUGCAGGGCUAGAGUCCGGAAGAGGCGAGUGGAAUUCCUGGUGUAGCGGUGAAAUGCGCAGAUAUCAGGAGGAACACCGGUGGCGAAGGCGGUUCUCUGGGCAUUACCUGACGCUGAGGAGCGAAAGUGUGGGGAGCAAACAGG
rnacentral:rRNA from 1 species